rnacentral:rRNA from 1 species
GACGAACGCUGGCGGCGUGCUUAACACAUGCAAGUCGAACGGAAAGGCCCUGCUUUUGUGGGGUGCUCGAGUGGCGAACGGGUGAGUAACACGUGAGUAACCUGCCCUUGACUUUGGGAUAACUUCAGGAAACUGGGGCUAAUACCGGAUAGGAGCUCCUGCUGCAUGGUGGGGGUUGGAAAGUUUCGGCGGUUGGGGAUGGACUCGCGGCUUAUCAGCUUGUUGGUGGGGUAGUGGCUUACCAAGGCUUUGACGGGUAGCCGGCCUGAGAGGGUGACAGGCCACAUUGGGACUGAGAUACGGCCCAGACUCCUACGGGAGGCAGCAGUGGGGAAUAUUGCACAAUGGGCGGAAGCCUGAUGCAGCAACGCCGCGUGCUGGAUGACGGCCUUCGGGUUGUAAACCGCUUUCGCCUGUGACGAAGCGUGAGUGACGGUAAUGGGUAAAGAAGCACCGGCUAACUACGUG